rnacentral:rRNA from 1 species
UACGUAGGGGGCUAGCGUUGUCCGGAUUUAUUGGGCGUAAAGAGCGUGUAGGCGGUUUGUCGCGUCUGCUGUGAAAACCCGAGGCUCAACCUCGGGCCUGCAGUGGGUACGGGCAGACUAGAGUGCGGUAGGGGAGAUUGGAAUUCCUGGUGUAGCGGUGGAAUGCGCAGAUAUCAGGAGGAACACCAAUGGCGAAGGCAGAUCUCUGGGCCGUAACUGACGCUGAGGAGCGAAAGCAUGGGGAGCGAACAGG